GAGUUUGAUCCUGGCUCAGAAUGAACGCUGGCGGCGUGCCUAACACAUGCAAGUCGAGCGAGAAAGUUCCUUCGGGAGCGAGUAAAGCGGCGGACGGGUGAGUAACACGUAAGAAUCUGCCCUAUAGUGAAGAAUACCUUCGAGAAAUUGAAGUUAAUGCUGCAUAAGUCCUCGGAGAAAGACGUCUUUAUGUCGUCGCUAUAGGACGAGCUUGCGGACUAUCAGCUUGUUGGUGAGGUAAAGG
rnacentral:rRNA from 1 species